rnacentral:rRNA from 2 species
AAAUUGAAGAGUUUGAUCAUGGCUCAGAUUGAACGCUGGCGGCAGGCCUAACACAUGCAAGUCGAACGGUAACAGGAAGCAGCUUGCUGCUUUGCUGACGAGUGGCGGACGGGUGAGUAAUGUCUGGGAAACUGCCUGAUGGAGGGGGAUAACUACUGGAAACGGUGGCUAAUACCGCAUAAUGUCGCAAGACCAAAGAGGGGGACCUUCGGGCCUCUUGCCAUCAGAUGUGCCCAGAUGGGAUUAGCUUGUUGGUGAGGUAACGGCUCACCA